rnacentral:lncRNA from 1 species
UUUAAAGGGAUAAAUCAAGUUGAUUUUGUGUAGAAUUGAUUCUGUCAAACGCAUAAGCUUGGAAAGGUAGCUUCAAGUAGAAUCACGCUUGCUCAUCUGAAUCACUUUUUGGUUGUAAAUUUCACAGGUAGCCGCUGCUGUAUAGUUCAUUGUUUUGCUUCUUCCUUCCACUCUUCUUCUUCUGCAUAACUGAGAUUCCAUCAUCUCAAACAAACGAAUCAUCUCAUCGCAGGUCAGGCAAUCCUAUUCUCAAAUUCUAUCUCUGUAAUUCAUUCAAUCAAUUUCUAUGUGAAAUUCCAAUUCUAUUAUUGCCCCUAUAUCAUUUCAGUUUUCAUUUAAAUUCAUUCGAACAACACAUGCUAUUGCUCAUUCCUUCUAUCUAAUCUGUCUUAUUUUUUGGUACAUCGUUGUCAGUGGCGAGUAUACCGCCGGGCAUGCCUGCCACGUGCCUGGGCUGCCCUUUUUCUUUAUUUUAUUUUAUUUUAUUUUAUUUUUUAAAUGAAAACAAAAACAGAAAAAGGAAGAGUAGUACUUGCUUUCUCUUUCUCGAUCCUCUCUCAAAAUCGCUGCUCUCAGUUCCUCUCUCACCGCCGGCCGCCGCUCUCAAUCCCUCUCUCACUGCUCUCAAUCUCUCUCCCUCACCUCGCCGUAACGCCGUUCAAUCUUCCGCCGCAGCCGCACCACUGCUCAGCUCACCGCGCCGCACCGCACUCACUCUNNNN